GGAAGUGAAGGUGGACAGACGAAACAAGUAUCAGAACUAAAGUUGAUCGCCAAGUGGACGUCGUAUAACAAACACUAACGUAGUGUUUAUUCCAUGCAAGCCCCGGUGCAUGCAACCCCUUCCUUGUGUUUUUAAAUAAUUUUUGCACACUUUAAGUCUAGCGAAAUGUGCAUUAGGUUUAUAGGAGUUGCAUGGAAACCCUUUAAUGCAUUGUCUACCUUGAUAUCCAUACCUUUAUAGAUACUUCUGAUGAAGUAUGAAAAUAUGAUUUACAAAAAUGCUUAUCCCUGCUUAGACAUUGUGGAUAGAGGUUGUCUUUUGCAUUAAGGCCUAGCUCAGGGGUUCUCCUGAGGAAGGAUGACUUCUACCUGCAAGAAUAUUUUCAUUGGGAGUGUGGUGGCAUCCUACUGCAGAGUUCCCUAUAAUGUUGUUUUCAUCAUAAGGAAUACAAAUAAUCCUAAGGAUGAAAGUACUUAAAUCGGGACUUGGGCUAGGAACAGGUGAUGUUCUACCAGGUUGAUUAAGGAUUAUACUGAAUGUAGGCUUGAUGAUCGAGGACCUUUUAACCGGUCAUAUGCCUCGUCAUGGGUAAGCUUUGCCUCGGGCAGAUUAAUACCAAAAUAAGAUAACACGCAAUGGGAGUGGAGAGAUGGCGAGAGUAGCGUGUACCCUUCGUGGCAAAAGGCUGGACGGUGGUGUAUCUGUGCUCUCAGUUGGCGUGAACCUGAUCUGGUCUUAAGAACCCCGGUGGCGAGUUGACAUAUGCAAGGGUUAAGUGCUACAUAUGUCGUGUGAUUGGAGAUCCCCAGCUGGGUAUUAAUCGAUUUGGAUCGCCGUUACUUCUCGGACAUGAAGACUUGGUCACUGCCCUGCAAUCUAAGUCAUGGAUGGAAUCAUAAUGAGCAAAAACCAUGAUGUAUUGAUUCUGUGAUGAUGAAAUUAGACUAGAUGCAAACAAGGUCUAUUAAUACUUAAUCUAGCAUUCAAAUGUUGAAAGUAAGGACUCAUUUUAGUAAGCUUUUCUGCAAACUAUUAAAGUUGAUUCUUGCUAAAAGCCUUUCCUUGACUCCCAAAUCCAGCAUAUCCUUGAGAGUCUUUUCUUUAGUCGGGUAAGUCUUGCUAAGUACUUGCGUACUUAGGGUUUUACCCAUUGUUGCUGCAGGUUACGAGUCAAUUGAUUGUGAUUGGUGUUAAGCGCCGGUGGGCACGGCCUUCUAUAAGUCUAAGUACUUCUUCUAUACUUCUUAUUGAGGAUGGUCUAAGUAUAUAUUUCAAACUUAUAAACAAUUUAUAACAUUUCAAAGUUUAUUCUUUGAACCACUUUUGUAACCACUUCGAUAAAUAUAAUGUAAAUUUGCUGUAACUUGUAAAAUUUGGUAAUAAGAUUUCCUUUGCAAAAUUGUUGGUGUGUGAUUUGUGUUUACUUAAUCCCGCAGUUCUUGUUGUAAGUGGUUUAUCCGAGGUCCUUGGGGCACUCGGACAGAUCCUGUUAAGUUAUCUGGUGCACAUGCAUAGCCGUCUGAUGUAUUUGAGACAAGGGCAGGUGCAUGUGGGCCCAAUAACUUGGGAGGUUCUGCCACAGCUGGUAUCGGAGCAAGAUUAAGUAUAUACGGUCACAUACGUAUUUUCAAAACAAAAGUUUUGGUUUUAGAAAACCUAUUUUCAACUAAACAUAUUGUUUGGUUUUGAAAAAUAGCUUUGAAAAUCUAUAAUGCUAGUGACAUCCUCUGUUAAGCCCUAAAUUAAGGAUUAUCAGGUGGCUUAGUUCAAAACAGCAACCCACAACCGGGUGGAUAUUGCAUACAUGUGUAAUGUUAUUUUUGAGGCCAUUCAGUUUUGAAUGGAUCGACGCUCAGGUAAGGUGAGAUGUGAGAGCAUGACCGAACAACCGUCGGUCUAGGGAAGAGUGUAAAAAGCGCUUGAUUAUAUACUUCUUCCACAUAUGUAUAUAUGAAGGCUGCGAUGUGGAGUAAUUACUUUUCUAGGAAUUCAGUACCCCAUGGAUGUGUAUGGGUAUACAGACAUGGGAAUACUGAGAAGUGUAAUGUACUUGUAACGAUGCACCUACGCUCGGGUAAGAAGGCGAGUUACCAUAAUAAGUUGCCCUAUGGUUAAAGUGUGGCAACGGCGCCUAUGCGUGGCUCGGCGCUUAAUGAUGAGCUGGCCUCCAUAUAGAGAUAUAUGGAGUAUAAAAUGUGAUAACUGUCAUGUGUGGAUCUUGCAUCAUGGGCAAAUUGGGCUGUGAUGGAUUUUUCUGCAGGUACACUAACCUCAAAAACGUAUGUGUAGCAAAAUACCAAGAGAGAACGUAUGCCACCGAUAAAGAACGUUAUUGCCACGUUAGAUUGGCAAAAAUCAGUGAGGACGAAUAAGACGAGCAUGCAUCCUGAUUGUUGCAUCAUGUUUGUCACCUAUACACCCAAAAUGCUUCUCUCAUCCUGAUUCCAAUAACCAGUGAUUGUAGAUAAUGUGGUGUAAUGAACUUCGAUGAAAUAGUUGUCCUCCAUUCUUUAGGUAAUCUAUAUAGGUGUUAUAUGUGUUUGCUCUUGUACUUGAAGUGCCGAUAGAAGGUUGGUGAUUUAUUUGCCUAAACCAUAAACUAGGCCAUGUUCUUAUUUAGUGAACCAAGACCCAAAUUUGAAUUUUCCGUUAUCCCUCCAUGACUAAACUCAUGGAAAUGGAUGUGUUGGGGACUUGUUCUCAAAUACUAUGAAUUAAGAACAAGGCAACACAAAAGAAGGUUAAAUGGUUAAUGCCCUUCGUCCUUCGAAACAUUAUUUCCCUUGGGAUAUAACGAUCUUCGGACGAAGGCCAUGAAGGAUACACCUUCAUCAUUAUGAUAUAUGAUAGUGAUAAUAAAAAACAUAUAAAAUACAAAAGAUAGCAUAGACAUUUAUAUAUCAUUAUUAAAUCAUUUCUAUUUUAUUAACACGGAAAAAUAGAAAUGACAUUAAACUACAAGUGUACCUUCGGCUUGAAUGAAAGCAAAAGUACAAGUGUGACGUAUCCGUGAUUACAGGAUCGCGUGAACAGUGCCGGGAUACUGUUCACCUAUUUAUAGGCACAGGAUGCAACCUGCGCAAAAUUACAUUUAUGUCCUUUACAAUCAACUAUAAUUUAUGACACAAAACAUCAUGGGUCUUUAAGUCAAUUCAUCUUUAAGUCGGUUCGACCCUUCAUCUUGAGAUUUGUCUCUGUACCGAAGCUUUAGAGAUGAUAGCUUCGGCGCUUGCUUCUGAGAAGACCUUUCGAAGGUGUUCUUUUUAGGAUCUUCGGCUACGAAGCAUACCCCCAACAGUAGCCCCUUCGCGGUGCUAGAUCGUUUUUCGUAACGAGCUUGAUCCGUGAAAAAGUCUUUUAAGCUUCGGGACGCCGAAGAUCCAAAAAACACCUUCCCUGAGCUCGUUGGCGAGAAACGAUUAAAAUAAUCGUCGCGCGCGCGCCCCAUCCUGUACCAAUUACGCGCGCGCUAGCGAUUCACCUUCUCGGACUCUGUGGCCCACCGUUCAGUGAGUGCGGGUGACUGCUUGUUCGGUGCUGGGGACCUUGCCGAUUCACCUUCCCACCUGCAGCACUAUAUAAACAGACGGGUAGGUGUGAAGUUACCACGACAUUCAUUGCUAGCGCACUGUUUUGCUACCAAAUUUUUAGUCAUAGCCGAAGCUUAAUCAUCGUGCUCAGACGAAACUUCGCUUGUGUUUCCUCUUCGGAACAAGAGUAAGAGCUUCGGAGAAAACAAAAAAGUCAACACCAAAAACUUCAAGUAAGUCAUAAUCAAAUGGCCAGAGUUCGCUCUACUGCUAGGGUCGAUCGUGAGGGAGACGAGAUCGAAGCUACUGACAUUGUUCCUAUUUCGGAAGCAAUGAAGCGUUCUGGGUUGGUAACACCGGAGGACAUGCCUGCUGCCGAAGACAUCCCUGCUGCCGAAAACAUUCCUGCUGCCGAAGCAGAACGGACUGCUGUUGAAGAAACUGAUUCCGAAGAUGAUUACAGUAGCGCAGUGCCGAGCAAGCCUAGCCACAUGGACUUCGGAAAGUCCACCAUCUCCGAAGCUGAUUUUCCUAAGAUGGUGAAGUUAGACUAUCUUAGUGAAGAAAAGAAGGAAUUGAUUCGUUUCAGUGGAGAGGAAACUAUCCCGAAACUGGGAAAAAAUGAAGUGGUGGUUUUCAAAAGUCUUUUUAAAGCUGGUUUAAGAUUUCCUCUGAACAAGAUGAUUGCUGGUGUAUUGAAGAAACAUGGGAUCUACCUUCAUCAGCUGACGCCUAACGCUAUCGUUAGGCUGAGUGUUUAUAUAUGGGCCCUCCGAAGCCAGGGGGUGGAACCAUUCUCCGAAGGUUUCUGCCGAGUACACGAACUGCAUGUUGGGCCCAUGCUUCGUUGCGCCGAAGGUCUUGCGUGAAGAAGCAGCUUCGGCUGAAAUCGUCCCCAGGAAAUGGCCGAAGGUUCCUUUUUAUAGAGCUUCGGCGUUGCAAACCGACAUAAAGAUAGAAUGACCUUUUUAUCCAUAGAGGUCUAACAUAAUGUUGUAAACUUUUGUAAAGGGCAUAAUUGUAAUUCGUCACAGGCUGCGUCCUGUGUCUAUAAAUAGAUGAACAGUACCCCCGUACUGUUCACGCUGACUUGGCAUUUGCUUUUGCGUCACGCUUGUACUUUCUACCCUCUCUCAGGACCGAAGGUACAUUUGUAAUUUGAAAUCAUUUCUAUUUUUCCAUGUUAAUAAAAUAGAAAUGAUUCUACGAUGAUGCUUAUGUUAUAUUUCAUGCUUUAUAUAAGUCCCUCGUCAUUAUUUGUUAUGUUUACGAAGGUAUUUCUCUUAUGACCUUCGUCCCAGACUCAUUAUUUCCCGAAGGGGACAUAAUGCUUCGAAGGACGAAGGACUUUAACACUUAACAUUUUUUAUGUUGCCUUGUUCUUAACUCUUAGCAUUUGAGAACAAGUCCCCAACAUUGGCGCCCACCUCCGGUGAACUCACUUCCACUUUUCUGAGCUGAUGGCUUCGUUCAACAAUCAAGCUGGAGUUGCUUCGGACCCGAAGCUGGUGCUCCCGAUCACAGGUGGCUCGUCCUCAGAGCCAGCUAACAAGAAGCAGAAGAAGGAAGCGCAGAGAAGAGUACAGCAUGUUGGGGUGCAAGGACCCUUCAUCAAAUCAAGAUGGUCUCACAUUCCUAUUACCUUCUCUCAAGAGGACCUUCAGCUCAAAGAUUACCCACACAACGAUGCCAUGGUUAUCUCUUGUGUUAUCAAAGGAUUUCUGGUUCACAAUGUCUUGGUCGAUACAGGUAGUGCAGCUGACAUCAUAUUUGCUAAAGCCUUCAGACAGAUGCAAGAGCCAGAAGAUAAGAUUCAUGAUGCUACACAUCCUCUUUGUGGCUUCGGAGGAAGACAGAUUGUAGCACUGGGCAAGAUCACCAUGUCAGUAACCUUCGGAUUCAUCAACAACACUAGAACUGAGCAAGUUGUGUUUGACAUUGUUGACAUGGAAUAUCCUUACAAUGCAAUUAUUGGUCGUGGUACUCUUAAUGCCUUCGAAGCAAUCCUUCAUCCUGCCUAUCUUUGCAUGAAGAUACCUUCGGACCAAGGGCCUAUUGCUAUCCAUGGAAGCCAGGAAGCUGCUAGAAGGGCCGAAGGAAGCUGGACCGACUCCAAGGCAAUCCAUAACAUAGAUGGAACUGAAGCUUGUGAACAGUACAAAUUCAGAAGGGAGAAGGCAGCUUCAGCAGAUCAGCCGAAGCCCAUGCUAUUGUGUGAAGACAUAGCAGAGCAGAAGGUGCUGUUGGGCUCGCAAUUAUCUGAAGACCAGGAGAAAACCUUGAUAAGGUUUUUAUUCAACAACAAAGAUGUUUUUGCAUGGUCGGCUAAUGAUCUCUGUGGAGUAAACCGGGAUGUUAUUGAACAUUCGCUCAAUGUUGACCCAUCCUUUAGACCCCGAAAGCAGAGGCUUCGGAAAAUGUCUGAUGACAAGGCCGAAGGGGCUCGCAACGAAGUAAAAAGACUCCUCAGUGCAGGAGUUAUCAGAGAAGUGAAGUAUCCAGAGUGGCUAGCUAACACUGUUAUGGUGAAGAAGGCCAAUGGCAAGUGGAGAAUGUGUAUCGAUUUCACAGAUCUCAACAAGGCUUGUCCGAAGGACGAAUUCCCGUUGCCAAGGAUAGACUCUCUAGUCGAUGCAGCAGCUUCUUCAGAGCUCAUGAGUCUCUUGGACUGUUACUCAGGAUAUCAUCAAAUCUGGAUGAAAAAGGAAGAUGAGCCGAAAACUAGCUUCAUAACUCCAAGUGGCACGUAUUGCUAUCUUCGGAUGCCUGAGGGGCUCAAAAACGCUGGAGGAAGUUUCAGCAGAAUGACUGCGAAGGUUCUUCAGUCUCAAAUAGGCAGAAAUGUGUUGACCUAUGUUGAUGACAUUAUCGUCAAAAGCACGAAGCAGGAAAAUCAUAUUGUUGAUCUGCAGGAGACCUUCGCCAGCUUCAGACAAGCUGGUUUGAAGCUGAAUCCAGAGAAAUGUGUCUUCGGGGUAAAGAAGGGUAAAUUUCUUGGAUGCUUGGUUUCAACAAAGGGAAUCGAAGCUAAUCCAAAUAAAAUCGAAGCUAUACUUCGAAUGGAGCCACCAACUACAAGAAAAGGGGCCCAAAGAUUGACAGGAAGGCUGGCAUCUCUCAACAGAUUUAUAUCCAGAUCAGCAGAAAGAAACUUACCAUUUUUCGAGGUGCUGAAGUCAGCCGAAGUCUUUCAAUGGGGCCCAAGUCAACAAAAAGCCUUCGAAGAGUUGAAGCAAUACUUGAUAGAUCUCACAACAUUAACUCCGCCAACGCCAGGGGCUCCUCUGUUGUUAUAUGUGGCAGCUUCGCACUCAGCAGUAAGUGCGGCGCUUGUCCAGGAGAAGCUUUAUGGCCAGCUUAAGAAGCAAGUUCCAGUGUAUUUUGUAUCUGAGGUCCUUAGUGUCUCAAAGAAAAAUUAUACAGAGCUGGAGAAGGUAUUAUAUGCCGUUUUAAUGGCAUCCAGGAAACUUCGGCAUUAUUUUCAGGCAUACAAUAUCAUUGUUCCUUCUUCGCAGCCGUUGAAGGAUAUAAUGAGAAAUAGAGAAGCUACUGGACGGAUUGGGAGAUGGGCUGCAGAGCUCAACAAAUUUUACAUUGAUUAUGUGCAUAGAUCUUCGAUCCAGUCUCAAGCAUUGGCAGAUUUCAUUGCCGACUGGACGCCAGGGGCUCAGGAUGAAGAAGCAAAUAAAGAUGCCGAAGUGUGGACAGUGUUUUGUGAUGGCUCUUGGGGAAUCUUCGGAGCAGGUGCAGCUGCUGUGUUGGUUUCACCAUCCAAUGUCAAAACUUGUUAUGCAGCAAGACUUGAUUUCAGCUGCACGAACAAUAUUGCUGAGUACGAAGCCCUGCUUUUGGGCCUUCGGAAAUUAAAGGCAAUGGGAAUCAGAAGGGCAAUUCUUAAAACUGAUUCCCAGGUGGUUUCGGGUCAUGUUGACAAAAGUUGCAAGGCUAAAGAUCCGAAGCUUGAAAAAUAUCUAGAUACGGUCCGAAGGAUCGAGGCAUCCUUCGAAGGAUUCUCUGUCAAGAAUAUUCCUCGAGGACAAAAUGAGCAUGCUGAUUUGCUAGCUAAGUCUGCGGCACAGGGGCUGCCGUUACCUUCGGAUGUGUUCUUCGAAACAAUAAAGGCACCUUCAGUGGAGCUCCUUGAAAGAGCACUCCUCAACAUAUCUCCUGUUUACAGCGAAGAUUGGAGAACUGAAAUAAUCUCUUACCUUCAGGGUAAGUCCCUUUCAGAUGACGAAGCUUACAAUAAAAGAAUAGAGGCAAGAGCUCGUCCGUAUGUCAUGAUAGAAGGGGAAUUAUACAAACAUGGAGUUUGUGCUCCGCUGCUCAAGUGCUUAUCUAGAGCCGAAGGUAUAGAGUUGAUGAAAGAGAUACAUGCAGGCCUGUGUGGAUCCCACAUUGGAUCCAGGCCAUUACUUGGGAAAGUCUUCCGCCAAGGGUUUUAUUGGCCGAAGGCAGCUUCGGAUGCGGCGGAGUUAGUGCAAAAGUGCGAAGGUUGUCAGAAAUGUGCAAGAGAUCAAAAACAACCUUCGUCUUUGACACAGCUGAUACAACCCAUCUGGCCAUUGCAAAGGUGGGGCCUUGACUUGUUGGGCCCAUUACCACCGGCUCAAGGGAAUCUAAAAUAUGUUAUAGUGGCUGUGGAGUAUUUUUCCAAGUGGAUUGAGGCGAAGCCAUUGGCCACAAUAACUUCGGCCACUGUCCAAAAGUUUUUCUGGCAGAAUAUUGUCUGUCGCUUCGGGGUACCGAAGGCAAUUACUGUAGAUAAUGGAACGCAGUUUGACUCCGAAGCUUUCAGAAAUUUCUGUGAUCAAAUUGGAACGAAGAUCCAUUUUGCGUCAGUCAGGCAUCCGGAGUCAAAUGGGCUCGUUGAAAGGGCCAACGGCAUUAUAAUGACAGGAAUAAUGAAGUUAAUCUUCAAUCAACCCAGGGGAAAGUGGCCAGAUCAGUUAAUCAAAGUGGUGUGGAGCCACAAUACAACAACAUCAAGGUCUACAGGCUUUACCCCAUUCAAAUUAUUAUUCGGUGACGAAGCAAUAACUCCGGAGGAAGCAAAAGCUGGAUCAGUAAGAGUAGUAGCUUCGGCAGAAUCAGGUCCCGAAGAUGCUUGCCUUGUGGAAAAGGAUGCUUUAGAAGGGAUCAGGCUUCAGGCCGUGGAGAAUAUCAAUAAAUAUCAGGCUGAAACAGUUAAAUGGCGAGAUAGAAAAGUCCGGCUAAAAAAUAUUGAGCCGGGACACUUGGUGCUUCGGAGAGUGGCUAACCCAGAUACAGUGGGUAAGCUACAGUUGAAAUGGGAAGGACCAUUCUUAGUAGUAUCUUCGUCAAGGCCUGGAUCAUACAGAUUGAAGGACAUGGAUGGCAACGAAAUUCCAAGGUCUUGGAAUGCGGAUGAGCUUCGGCGAUACUAUGUAUAACAUGAUGUAAUUUUUAAUGUUUUUUCUUUUCUUUUUCAUGGCACCCUUUUCCUUUCCGAAGGGGAGAAAGGUUUUUAAUGGGGCCAUCAUGUGUAAUUUCCUUUUUUUAGUCUUAUAAGAGCAAAAUCCCCCAAAAAAUGUAAAUGUAACAGCUGAGAACGCACCAUCGAGUGCAGAAACUGAAAAAGAAAAAAGAGAAGAAGCUCCAAAGACGUUCCUAAGGGAAUGCAGAGCUUAUACCGCCUAAGUAAAAGGCGAAGAAACUCCAAAGACGUUCCCAAGGGAAUGCAGAGUUUAUACCGUCUAAGUAAAAGACGAAGAAGCUCCAAAGACGUUCCUAAGGGAAUGCAGAGCUUAUACCGCCUAAGUAAAAGGCGAAGAAACUCCAAAGACGUUCCUAAGGGAAUGCAGAGUUUAUACCGUCUAAGUAAAAGACGAGGAAGCUCCAAAGUCGUUCCUAAGGGAAUGCAGAGCUGAUGUGUGGUUAAUUACAAGGAAAUAAUGGUUGAGUGUGGCUUUGGUUAUACGCUUUGGACAUUCAUUCGCACAUUACAUCAUAGCAUUUGCAUUCAUAAGCAUUCAUUCAUAGCAUUUGUGCUUCUAAGUGGUUGCUUCGGCAAAAGGAAGAAGUGGCCUUUUAUGUUUCGUCAUGUACAAAAAAGAAAAAAAGCUUCGGCAAGAAGAAGAAGCGGCCUUUUAUGUUUCGUCAUGUACAAAAAAGAAAAAGCUUCGGCAAGAAGAAGAAGCGGCCUUUUAUGUUUCGUCAUGUACAAAAAAGAAAAGCUUUGGCAAAAAGAAGAAAUGGUCUUUUAUGCUUCGUUGUGUCCGAAAAGAAGGGAAGGUGUUUUUUCGCCUUCGGCUCAAAAUACUGAUUUCGUCCACAUCAAAGCGUCUCAAUAAAAGGGUAAGAAUAUAUUACAAGGUAUGAACAAAGUUCCUUGAGAAUAGAUUAAUUAUAUUUACAAAAAGUUGUUACAAAUUCUUCUGAGUUUUUUCUAGUUUACUCCUAAUAACCUUCGUCAGGUUUCUGCUUCGGCGGCAUUUCCUUUAAGCAUCACCUUCAGCUUCGUCAUCCUACAUGAAUCAAGGUAUCCCGAGUAAAAAUCAAGUGUGAAGGAGGAGGUAAGUACAAAGUAUGAUUUCUUACUGGUUCAAGAUGACUUCGAGCUUCGUCCCCAGCCUUCUCUCGCCCGCCUUUUGUCCAUAUCAUUUUUAUGAAUCUAUUUGAGAUGCUCCGGGCGAGGUCAGGAAUGUCGUCGAGAAUUGAUGGAGACAGGGCGAAGUUGGGCCUGUUGACAAUCUUUCCAUGCUCGCAGCCAGCCUUCAGGAAUGCUGCAGCAGUACCCCGAGAAGCUACCCAGGCACAGAAGUCACCGUGCCCAGCUAUAACUUCGUCAAGUUCUUCAAUUUCAGCUUCGAUAUGAUCGAAGGCUUUUGGUAAAUCUUCAUCCGAAGGGGUAAAUUUCCCGCUGCUGGCCCCAACUGAGUAAAAGAUCUUCUUUAGUUGUUGGAUACAAUUGUUGCUAAAAUUCAAACAUUUGUCUUGAAGGCUUGUUAAUGACUUCUUCAAAUUUGAGUUGGCUUGGACUUCGGCUUCAAGUUUCGAAUCAAGUUCUAGCUUCUCUUGUUCAAAUUGUUUUGAUUGGCAGAGAAGCUUCGAAUUCAAUUCUGCUACUUUGGCUUCAGUCUCUGCCAGCAAGCCUUCGGUUGAUUGAAGUUCGAAGUCUUUCUUUUCAAUAAUAGCUGAUUGUUCUUUUAUCUUGCUCUCUAAAUUUUCAAUUAUAGCUUCGUGCUUCUUAUCUUCUAGAUCUUGCUGCAUCCUCAAAGCUUUGCUUAGAAGCAUGCUCUGCAAAUAAACAACCUUCGUUAAAGAAUAUUGCCAUUAUUAAAAAAACAAUAGAAGUUAGAGAGGAGGAUGUUUACCUUGAAAUUUGAAUAAAAUAAGCUGCCGACGAUAUGUUGUCGUCGGUAGCGGCUGAUGUCUGUCUCUAGUUUCGGGAAACCGAUACUCUUUGAUAGAGUACCGAUGACCUUAGCCCCAGCUGAGUCCCGGAUGCAGCCCAGUUUUUCAUCAUCAAUGCCUCCAAAUAGAAGAGCUCCUGGCUUGUAUCCGCAAGAUUUGGCGUAUUCCUUAAGCUCUUCUUUUUCGGCCUUCGACAGUUUUUGCCCGACUAAAUUUUGAAAUGAAUAGGCUUCGUCGUCCGAAGUGUCUUCGGCUAUUUCUUUCCCUUUCCCAGGCACUGUGGCCAUGGUUUCUUCAGCAGUGGUGGCAGCUUCUUCUGCAGCCAUGUCUGUUAAAAUUUUGUUGAUGUCUUCAUUAGUAGAUUCCAAGUUUACAUCUUCGGCUGUAACGGCUUCGGUAGCCGCGACCUCCGAAGGUGCGACUUCGACAUUUUCUGUGCCCACAACAGCUGGUGUUUUCUGGAUUGACGCCCUCGGUGGCGUCUUGUCAAUAACUUCUGUUACGGCAAUAAUUCUUUGCCUUUUCGCUUUGGCUAUCUUCGUUUUUUCCGGCUCCGCCACCUUUUGAAAAAGCUUCGUCAGUCGAGGCCCUAAUGGACUUAGCUUCGUGGGCAUGGGUUCAGUCAUUACCUUUAGAAUUUCCUCCACGUCGCUAGUAGAAGGUGGUGUGGGGGUCCCCUCUUCUUCGGAUAGUUUUCGCUUUGGAGUUGAUAUUUUUCUCUUGACAAUUUUCUUCUUUUUUGGUGGUUGUUCUUCAUCCUUGUUUAAAGCUUCGGUCGCUCUUUUUCUUCUCUCGCCCUCAGCACCCUUGUUCAGCUGCGCAUAAUCAGGAUAUUCGAAACCCAGAGCAUCAAGCACUCGGUUCAGCCUUCGCUUCGGACGGGUGCCGAAGGCUGCUGUCAUCAGUUGAUCUUCCUUUUUCGAGUAAUUCCCAAGAAUUUCAUUACACAUCACCUCAACUGUAUCCAGCCACUCUUGGCAGGGCUUCUUAAAAUAUUUCUUGAAUUUGAAGUGGUAAGGAAGCCGGACAAGAUCCCCUUCCUUCUUCUCCCCCUUUAACUUCGGCAUUUCCCAUUUUUUCAGAGUAGGGAAGACUCUGAAUGCUAAGAAUUCUUGAACCAGAUCCCUGGUACCAAUAUGCUCUGCAAUGAUUCUGAAUUCAUCCAUUGCCCGUUGAGUUUGACCCUCUGGUGUCAUGUUGCAGUGGGGUCGGGUUUCUCCGAAAGUUAGCUCGAGUGGACUUUGCACAAGCUUCUCCUUGUCCUCAUCAACCUUGACAUAGAACCAUUCUGAUUUCCAGCCUGCCGGCCAUUUGCUUCGGUAGCUGAUUACAGGAAACUUUGCGGUUUUCCGGUAGGCAAAAUUGUAGCAACCGAAGUUUUCAUGAAGCCCAUCUUUUCUGGCCUUUGUUUGAUAAUGCAAUUCAUGAACUCGACAGAAACUGUCAGCAAAAGGCUCCACUGCUUGGCUUCGGAGGGCCCAAAUAUAAACGCUAAGCCUAACGAUGGCGUUAGGAGUUAACUGAUGAAGGUAGAUGCCAAACCUCUUCAGUAUCUCUGCAACAAUCUCGUGAACAGGGAAUCUUAGCCCAGCCUUUAAAAAGCUUUUGAAGAUGACAACCUCGUCCUUCUCUGGCUUCGGGGUGGUCUCUUCUCCCCCGAAGCGAAGUAGCUUCUUCUGAUCUUCACUGAAAAAACCUGCUUUCACCAUCUUGGCGAGAUCAACCUUUGAAACAGUCGAUUUUCCGAAGUCUAGGUGGCUGGGUUUGCUGGGCAUGGCAAUACGGUAGUCAUCUUCGGAGUCGGUUUCUUCAAUGUUCCCUUCUCCUUCGGCAGCUGUCGGGUUUGCUUCGGCAGCAGGCAUUUCUUCCGCAGUCACCAGUCCGGAGCGCUGCAUCGCUUCGGAGAUGGGCACAGUCUCCGAAGCUUCAGUCUCGUCCCCCUCACGCUCAACCCUAGCUGUAGAGCGAACUCUGGCCAUUUAAUUAUGAACUUGUGAAACUUGGGUACUUUUUUCUCCGAAGCAGGCUUCAAGAUGGAGCUUCGUUCAAAUCUGACAAACUAGCUUCGGUGGUGGUUAAAAAUUUUGGCAGCAAAACAGUGCAAAUAGCAGUAAAUGCUGUGGUAACUUCACACCUACUCGUCUGUUUAUAUAGUGCUGCAGGUAAGAAGGCAAAGCGGCAGGGUUUUUACACCAGGCGGGCAGCAACUUGUACUCGCUGCGCAGUGGACCGCAAGGACCAAACAGUGACUCUGCAAGGUGGGACCGACACGAUCUCGGGAAAUGAAUCGUUUCUCGGCAACGAGCUCAGGGAAGGUGUUUUUUGGACCUUCGGCUUCCCGAAGCUUGAGAGGAUUUUUUCACGGUUCAAGCUCGUUACGAAAAACGAUCUAGCGCCGCGAAAGGGGCUACUGUUGGGCCCAUGCUUCGUUGCGCCGAAGGUCUUGCGUGAAGAAGCAGCUUCGGCUGAAAUCGUCCCCAGGAAAUGGCCGAAGGUUCCUUUUUAUAGAGCUUCGGCGUUGCAAACCGACAUAAAGAUAGAAUGACCUUUUUAUCCAUAGAGGUCUAACAUAAUGUUGUAAACUUUUGUAAAGGGCAUAAUUGUAAUUCGUCACAGGCUGCGUCCUGUGUCUAUAAAUAGAUGAACAGUACCCCCGUACUGUUCACGCUGACUUGGCAUUUGCUUUUGCGUCACGCUUGUACUUUCUACCCUCUCUCAGGACCGAAGGUACAUUUGUAAUUUGAAAUCAUUUCUAUUUUUCCAUGUUAAUAAAAUAGAAAUGAUUCUACGAUGAUGCUUAUGUUAUAUUUCAUGCUUUAUAUAAGUCCCUCGUCAUUAUUUGUUAUGUUUACGAAGGUAUUUCUCUUAUGACCUUCGUCCCAGACUCAUUAUUUCCCGAAGGGGACAUAAUGCUUCGAAGGACGAAGGACUUUAACACUUAACAUUUUUUAUGUUGCCUUGUUCUUAACUCUUAGCAUUUGAGAACAAGUCCCCAACACUGCACUACCAAACCAAGGCUAGGGCGGAUGGUUUGCAUGAAAAUUUUGGCUGGUACAACUUUGCUUACCGCAAAACUACAAAGUUCCCAAUGAUUAGCUACCGAAGCAAAUGGCCAGCAGGGUGGAAAUCUAAAUGGUUUUAUGUCAGAGUUGACGAAGAUGAAGAUAAAUUGGUCCAGAGUCCAUUAGAACUGACCUUCGGAGAAACAAGACCCCCGUGCAACAUGAUAUGGGGGAGCCCGAACCAGAUUGCUUUGGCUGAAUUUCGAAUAAUUGCAAAUCAUAUUGGUACUAGAGACUUGGUGCAGGAAUUUUUGGCCUUCAGAGUAUUUCCUACUUUGAAGGAAUGGGAAAUGCCGAAACUGGAGGGGGAGAAGAAGAAAGGGGAGCUUAUUCGGUUGCCUUACCACUACAAGUUCAAAAAACAUUUCAAAGUACCCUGCCAAGAAUUGCUGGAUACAAUUGAAGUAAUGUGCAACGAGAUUCUUGGAAAUUACUCUAAAAAAGAAGAUCAAUUGAUGACAGCGGCCUUCGGCACCCGUCCGAGACGAAGGCUAAACAGGGUGAUGGAUGCUAUUGGAUUUGAAUAUCCUGAUUAUGAGCGACUGGACAAAGGUGCCGAAGGGCAAAAAAGAAAAAGAGUGGCCAGUGCUUUGAAUAAAGACGACGAAGAUCAAUCAAAGAAGAAGAAACAAAAAUCUGAGGCAAAAUCAUUUGCUUCUGAGAAAAGAAAGGACUCGUCCCCAAAGCAAAAAUCAAUUGAUAAAGAAGAAAAGACUUCUGCGACAUCUUCUGAUGCCGAAAUAGAGGAAAUCCUAAAGGUAAUGACUGAAACUUUGCCUGUCAAACUAAGUCCAUUGGGGCUUCAUCUGCCGAAGAUUUUUCAUAAGGAAAAGGAGCCCACAAAAACAAAGACACCUAGGCCAAAGAGGCAAAGGAUUGUUACUGUGACAAAAGUGAUUGAAGCAACACCGCCAAAGGCUUCAGCUCCGAAGGUGCCUGUUAUUGAAAGCGUAACAGCCACCGAAGCUGCACCUUCGGAGGCCGCAGAAGAAGCUGCUGGAGCCACCGAAGAUAUCAAUUUGGAAAGUGUGGCUCUUAAUAUAGAUAAAAUUCUGCUAGACAUGGCCGCAGAAGAAGCUGCUAGAGCCACGGAAGAGGCUUCGGCCCCAGAGGCCGAGAAAAAGAAAGAAAUUGCCGAAGAAACACUAGAAGAUGAAAUUUUCAAUUUUCAAAACUUGGUUGGUCAAGAAUUAACAAGAGCCGAAAAAGAAGAAUUGAAAGAAUAUGCCUUUUCCUGCGGCUACCGACCAGGGGCACUUCUUUUCGGAGGUGUUGAUGAUGAGAAGCUAGGCUGCAUCCGAGAUCAGACCGGAGCAAAGGUUAUCGGUACUCUAUCAAAGAGUAUCGGCUUCCCGAAGCUCGAAGCCGAUAUUAGCCGCUACCGGCGACAACACAUCGUCGGUAGUUUGUUUUAUUCCAAUUUCAAGGUAAACAAUCUCCCUCUAACUUUUUAUUUUUAUAAAAAAUGUUUUCUAACGAAGGAUAUUCGUGUACAGAGUAUGCUAUUGAGCAAAGCUUUGAGGAUGCAACAGGAUUUAGAAGACAAAAAGCACGAGGUUAUAAUUGAAAACUUGGAAAAUAAAAUAAAAGAUCAAACAACUGCCUUUGAGAAGAAAGAAUUCAAACUCCAGACAACUGAAGGUUUACUGUCGGAGGCCGAAGCUAAAAUAACAGAACUGAAUACGAAGCUUCUCGGUUCCGAACAAGAAAAGCUGAAGCUUAAUGGAAAACUUGAGGCUGAAAUCCAGAAUGGUUUAGCUUUGAAAAAAUCAUUGAUGGACCUUCAAAACAAAUGCUUGAAUUUCAGCAAUCAAUGUGUUGAACGAUUGAAGAAGGUGUUUUAUUCAGUCGGGGCCAGUAGUGAAGAAUUUAUUCCUUCGGUUGAAGAUCUACCAGGAGCCUUCGAACACAUCGAAGGUGAGAUUGAUGACCUCGAUGAUGUUAUUGCUGGAUACGGCGACUUUUGUGCCCUGGUAGCUUCUUGGGGCACCGCUGCUGCGUUCCUGAAAUCUGGCUGUGAGCAUGGAAAAUUUAUCAACAGACCCAAUUUCAGCCUAUCACCAGCAAUUUUAGAUGAUAUUCCUAACCUCGCCCGAAGCAUUGCAAAUAAAUUUAUAAAGGUGAUAUGGACGAAGGGUGGGCGAGAGAAAGCUAGUGACGAAGCCAGAGAUCACCUUAAGCUGGUAAUAAUAUUAUGCCUUAUGAUUACCUUUUCCUUUGAAUGUUGAAUUCAGCUAAUAAUUCUUACAUACAGGUUGACCAAGCUGAAGCUGAAGCUACAAAAUAGAAGGAAGAAGCUCCAGAGAUGCUGUUGAAGCUCGAAUAGUCUGUAAAAAUAGCUCAAAAACUCAUGUGACAACUUGUAUAAAGUAUGAUGUAAUUGAAUUUCACUUUGUAAUAUAAUCUUCAUUUUCUGUCCAUGUAUGAAAUGCUUUGGUGUGGACGAAAUUAAUACUUUUGAGCCAUAGGCGAAAAACACCUUCCCUUCUUUACGUACACAGCGAAGUAUAAAAUUGCCUUUUUCCCGAAGCCUCCCUUUCGAAGCCGAAGCAAAUUUGUAUGUUAUGCUGAUGAUGAUCCUAUGUAUGUCUAAGUGAAUGUUUAUGAAUGCAAAUGUAUGAUGUAAUGUAUCGUGCAAAUGAAUGUUUGAAGACACAUAUAAAACCAUAAUAACAAAUCUUUGCCAUUUAUUUUUCGGCUUCACCGCUUAUUUUUCGGUGUAUCAGCGCUGACUUUUCGCUGUAAGCCACCCUUAGAAGCUUCUUCGCCUUUUAUUUUGGUGGAAUCAGCGUUGACUUUUCGCUGUAAGCCUCCCUUAGGAUCUUCUUCGCCUUUUAUUUCGGCGGAAUCAGCGUUGACUUUUCGCUGUAAGCUCUGCAUUCCCUUAGAAACGACUUUUGAGCAGAAAACUUACGCUGCGCUCCCUUAGGAACGGCUUUUUUGUGGCUUCGUCGUGCUCUGCAUCCCCUUUGGGACGUUUUUUGAGCUUCUCCGUGUUUUUUCUUUUUCUCAUUGCACUCGAUGGUGCAUGCCCAGCCUUUACAUUUACAUCUUCGGGGGAUACUGCUCUUGUAGAGCUGAUAUAAGAAAAAGAGAAAUUACAUGCUAUGGCCCCAUUAAAAACCUUUCUCCCCUUUAGAAAGGAAAAGUGUGCCAUAGGAAAGAAUAAAAAAGAUUACAUCAGGCUACACAUAAUACCGCCGAAGCUCAUCCUCGUUCCAAGAUCUAGGAAUGUCGCUGUCGUCCAUAUCCUUCAGCCUAUAAGAGCCGGGUCUUGACGAAGAUACUACCAAGAAAGGCCCUUCCCAUUUCAACUGUAACUUGCCCACUGUGUCUGGGUUGGUGACUCUCCGAAGUACCAAGUGUCCUGGCUUAAUAUUUUUUAGCCGAAUCUUUCUGUCACGCCAUUUUAUUGUCUCGGCUUGAUAUUUAUUGAUAUUCUCUACAGCCUGAAGCCUGAUCCCUUCUAUAGCAUCUUUUGCCACAGAAUAAUCAGCUUCAUCUUCUGCCGAAGCCAUUGUUCUUAUUGAUCCCGCUUUAGCUUCUUCUGGAGUUAUUGCUUCGUCACCAAACAACAAUUUGAAUGGUGUAAAACCUGUUGACCUUGAUAUUGUUGUGUUGUGGCUCCACACCACUUUGAUUAAUUCGUCCGGCCACUUCCCCCUUGGCUGGUUGAAGAUUAACUUCAUUAUUCCUAUCAUUAUAAUGCCAUUAGCUCUUUCUACAAGUCCAUUUGACUCCGGAUGCCGAACUGAUGCAAAAUGGAUCUUCGUGCCAAUUUGUUCACAAAAUUCUCUGAAAGCUUCGGCAUCAAACUGCGUUCCGUUGUCCACGGUAAUGCCUUCGGCACUCCGAAGCGACAAACAAUAUUUUGCCAAAAAAACUUUUGAACAGUGACCGAAGUUAUUGUGGCUAAAGGCUUUGCCUCAAUCCAUUUAGAAAAAUAUUCCACUGCUACUACAACAUAUUUCAAAUUCCCUUGCGCUGGUGGGAGUGGGCCUAGCAAAUCAAGGCCCCAUCUUUGCAAUGGCCAAGUGGGCUGUAUUAAUUGAGUUAGAGACAAAGGUUGUUUUUGAUCUCUUGCACAUAUUUGACAUCCUUUGCAUUUUUGGACUAAUUCUGCUGCAUCCGAAGCUGCCUUCGGCCAAUAGAAUCCUUGACGAAAAACUUUACCCAACAGAGGCCUGGAUCCGAUGUGAGAUCCACAGAGGUCUGCAUGUAUUUCUUUCAUCAGCUCUAUACCUUCAGUUCUGGAUAGACAUUUGAGUAAUGGGGAACAGACUCCAUGCUUGUAUAACUCCCCUUCUAUUAUUACAUAUGGACGUGCUCUCGCCGCUAUUCUCUUUUGAUAAGCUUCGUCAUCUGAAAGAAAAUUGCCCUGGAGAAAAGAAAUGAUCUCGGUUCUCCAAUCUUCGCUAUAAACAGGAGAUAUAUUGAGCACUGCUCUUUCAAGAAGGUCAACCGAAGGUGCUUUUAUUGUUUCAAAGAAAACUUUCGAAGGUAAUGGCAGCCCUUGUGCUGCUGACUUGGCUAGUAGAUCAGCGUGUUCAUUUUCUCCUCGUGAAAUAUUCUUAACAGAAAACCCUUUGAAGGAGGCUUCAAGUCUUCGAACUAUAUCCAAAUAUUUUUCAAGCUUCGGAUCUCUUGCUUUGCAGCUUUUGUCAACAUGGCCAGAAAUAACUUGAGAAUCAGUUUUGAGGACCACCCUUCUUAUCCCCAUUGCUUUCAACUUUCGAAGACCCAAAAGUAAAGCUUCGUAUUCAGCAAUAUUAUUUGUACAACUAAAAUCAAGUUUCACUGCGUAGCAUGUUCUGACUUUGGAAGGUGCAAUUAAGACGGUAGCUGCACCUGCCCCGAAGGUUCCCCAAGAACCAUCGUAGAAUACUAUCCAAGCUUCGGCAUCUUUACUUGCUUCUUCUUCCUGAGCCCCUGGCGUCCAGUCAGUAAUGAAGUCUGCUAACACCUGGGACUGAAUCAAAGAUCUAUGCACAUAAUCAAUGCAGAACUCAUUAAGUUCCGCAGCCCACUUCCCAAUCCUUCCAGUAGCUUCUCUAUUUCUCAUAAUAUCCUUCAAAGGCUGUGAAGAAGGAACAAUUAUAUGGUAUGCUUGAAAAUAAUGUCGAAGUUUCCUGGAAGCCAUCAAAACAGCAUACAACACCUUCUCCAAUUCUGUAUAGUUUUUCUUUGAUAAACUAAGGACUUCAGAGACGAAGUAUAUUGGGGCUUGCUUUUUGGCUUGCCCUUCAAGCUUCUCUUGGACAAGUGCCGCACUAACCACUGAGUGCGAAGCUGCCACAUAUAACAAUAGAGGAGCCCCUGGCGUUGGUGGAGUUAAUGUCGUUAGAUCUAUCAAAUACUGCUUCAGCUCGUUGAAGGCUUUUUGCUGGACUGACCCCCAUUGAAAAACUUCGGCUGACUUCAACACUUCAAAAAAUGGUAGAUUUCUCUCUGCUGAUCUAGAUAUGAAUCGAUUCAGAGAUGCAAGUCUUCUCGUCAGUCGUUGAGCCCCCUUAUUUGUGCUUGGUGGUUCCAUCCGAAGAAUAGCUUCGAUUUUAUUUGGAUUAGCCUCAAUCUCUUUUGUUGAAACUAGACAACCAAGGAAUUUCCCCUUCUUCACUCCGAAGACACACUUUUCUGGAUUCAGCUUCAGACCAGCUUGUCUAAAAUUAGCGAAGGUCUCCUGCAGAUCAGCAAUGUGAUUUUCUUACUUCGUGCUUUUUACUAUGAUAUCAUCAACAUAAGUUAGCACAUUUCUGCCUAUAUGAGAAUGAAGAACCUUCGUUGUCAUCCUGCUGAAGCUUCCUCCAGCAUUCUUGAGCCCCUUAGGCAUCCGAAGAUAACAAUAUGUUCCACUAGGGGUUAUGAAGCUGGUUUUUGGCUCAUCCUUUUUCUUCAUCCAAAUUUGAUGAUAGCCUGAAUAACAAUCUAGCAGACUCAUAAGCUCUGACGAAGCUGCUGCGUCAACUAGGGAAUCUAUCCUUGGUAAUGGAAACUCAUCCUUCGGACAAGCCUUGUUGAGAUCGGUAAAAUCAAUACACAUCCUCCAUUUGCCAUUGGCCUUUUUAACCAUAACAGUGUUGGCUAGCCAUUCUGGGUACUUCACUUCUCUGAUGACUCCGGCUUUAAGGAGUCUUUUUACUUCAUUCCGAGCACCUUCGGCCUUGUCAUCAGACAUUUUCCGAAGCCUCUGCUUUCUGGCUCUGAAGGAUGGAUCAACAUUGAUCGAGUGUUCGAUAACAUCCCUGUUGACUCCACAGAGAUCAUUAGCUGACCAUGCAAAUACAUCUUUGUUGUUGAACAGAAACCUUAUCAGAGUUUUCUCCUGUUCCUCAGACAAUUGAGAUCCCAAUAGCACCUUCUGCUCUGCUAUAUCGUCACAUAAGAGCAUGGGCUUCGGCUAAUCGGCCGAAGCAGCUUUCUCCCUUCUAUACUUGUAUUGCUCACAAGCUUCAGCUCCAUCUAUGUUAUGGAUUGCUUUUGAAUCUUUCCAAUUUCCUUCGGCCUUUCUGGCAGCUUCCUGACUUCCAUGAAUGGCAAUAGGCCCUUGCUCCGAAGGUAUCUUCAUGCAAAGAUAUGCUGGAUGGAGAAUUGCUUCAAAAGCAUUAAGAGUACCACGACCAAUGAUUGCAUUGUAAGGGUACUCCAUGUCAACAAUAUCAAACACAACUUGUUCAGUCCUUGUGUUGUUGAUAAAUCCGAAGGUUACCGGCAUCGUGAUCUUGCCAAGUGCUACAAUCUGCAUUCCUCCGAAGCCACAAAGGGGAUGUGUGGCAUCAUGGAUCUUAUCUUCGGGCUCUUGCAUCUGUCAGAAGGCCUUAGCAAAUAUAAUAUCCGCUGCACUGCCUGUGUCAACCAAAACAUUGUGGACCAGAAAUCCUUUGAUAACACAAGAGAUAACCAUAGCAUCAUUGUGAGGGUAAUCCUUGAGCUGAAGAUCCUCUUGGGAGAAGGUAAUCGGGUUAUGAGACCAUCUUGACUUGAUGAAGGGUCCUUGCACCUCUACAUGUUGUACCCUUCUCUGUGCCUCCUUCUUCUGCUUCUUGUUAGCCGGCUCUGAGCAUGAACCGCCUAUUAUCGGGAGUACAAGCUUCGGAGCCGAAGCAACUCUAGCUUUGAACGAAGCCAUCAGCUCAGAAAGUGGAAGUGGGUUCACCGGAGGUGGGCGCCAAUGUUGGGGACUUGUUCUCAAAUACUAUGAAUUAAGAACAAGGCAACACAAAAGAAGGUUAAAUGGUUAAUGCCAUUCGUCCUUUGAAACAUUAUUUCCCUUGGGAUAUAACGAUCUUCGGACGAAGGCCAUGAAGGAUACACCUUCAUCAUUAUGAUAUAUGAUAGUGAUAAUAAAAAACAUAUAAAAUACAAAAGAUAGCAUAGACAUUUAUAUAUCAUUAUUAAAUCAUUUCUAUUUUAUUAACACGGAAAAAUAGAAAUGACAUUAAACUACAAGUGUACCUUCGGCUUGAAUGAAAGCAAAAGUACAAGUGUGACGUAUCCGUGAUUACAGGAUCGUGUGAACAGUGUCGGGAUACUGUUCACCUAUUUAUAGGCACAGGAUGCAACCUGCGCAAAAUUACAUUUAUGUCCUUUACAAUCAACUAUAAUUUAUGACACAAAACAUCAUGGGUCUUUAAGUCAAUUCAUCUUUAAGUCGGUUCGACCCUUCAUCUUGAGAUUUGUCUCUGUACCGAAGCUUUAGAGAUGAUAGCUUCGGCGCUUGCUUCUGAGAAGACCUUUCGAAGGUGUUCUUUUUAGGAUCUUCGGCUACGAAGCAUACCCCCAACAGGAUGUUUGGAUAAUUUCUUUAUCCAAUGCAAGAUGUGCAUGGGCUUAAAGCUCGGAUCUCGAUUCCAUGUUCUCACUAUUUAAUCUGUAACAUUUUAGUUGUCAUAUUUCCAUCCUAGAUCAUGCCCUUGUUCAAUUGACACAAGCUGAUGUACCUUAUCCAGUUCGCCUGUUCUUAAGGAUCGCCAUGUUACUUUAUCAACCUAACCUAGGAAAGGCAUGUCCGACCAUUUUUUUGAGUUUCAUGCCUUUGGUUUCCUCAUAUCUAUCGAAGGCAUACCAACUUAAUUUUAUAAUUGUUUUUCCUCUGUAUCUAAUUAGCUACUAAUCCUUGACCUUGUAAUCUCUAUGAUGGGCAUAGAAAUAUGCUUGGGACUGAAUUAACCGUCUCCCAUCGUACUCAUUUAUCAACAAGUUUAGGUUAUGGCCAUGCCUUGUUCAUUUCAUCGGGCCAUGAUCUAUUUGGCUCUCUACUUGUAACCAUUCUUACAGGUGGAGUAUCUCUUUGCAUAUUGUCACCCUUGCUCAACCUAUUGGUGUGGCGCGAGAUUUCUUAUUGGUUACGUCUGGUAUUGGCGUUAUGACUAAAAUUGAUGAUGUCGCGCCAAAACCGAGGGCCUCCUGUGGAUGCAUACACAUGGAUGCGCUGCUUGGCACGCGCUAGUAUCACGGUUAGUAGUUGUAAUCCAUUAUGAGACUAUGUCAAUGCGUUAUCUUGGCACAAUAUGUUUUUGCUACGUGAGAUUCGUUAUUGGUGCCAGUUCGGUAAUGGUGUCAUGGUUAAUGACUUAUGGUGCCGCAGCGAAACUGAGAGCCUCCUGUGAAUGCGCACACAUGAUUUUGCUGCUUGGCGCAUGCCGAUACCAAGGUCUCUGGUCAUGAUCCAUUGUGGAACUACACUGAUGUGUUAUCUCCCUUAGAUCUUUUCCUUGAAACAAUUUCUAUGUUGUUUGUCAAGUGAUCAAGCAACGUCCAUCAUCUCUGUUGGAUCAAAACUGGCAUACCACUUUUAUGUGUGGUCUCUUUUCUUUUGAUCUUGGUAGUGUCUACUUAUACAAGUUCCCUUUACAUCCUUUGUGUAAAGGUGAAGCCUUGGAGCUUUAUAGUGUUGGAAAACAACUGAUUAGCUCUCAAAAUAGAGAUUGACUUUCCCCUGCUGCUGAGAUGCAGGAGUUUGUUCAUUCGCUCUCUUAUUUAAUCCAUGUAUUCCCAAACCAAGUCAUUUCAUCUCACAUGAAGAAACGGAUGAACAACAUGACCCGAUGGCUUUCUGCCCAAGUGCAUGAUCAACUGUUAACAAGAGAGAACUCUCAACCCUUGGCUUACCGAUGGUACUGAGAGGACUUGCUCAAUAUCAAAAAUAGUUCAACAAGUUGAUUUUACUAACUUGUAGCUACAUUAUGAACAAAGGUUGAGUUUAGAGAUCGUUUUAUCGAGUUAUCUAAACUCACUUUGGUUCGACCCAUCCUAAGGAAGUGUUUAUAAGAAUCGAGAUUAAGUCGACCAGUAUCCACCUAAUCAUCACUCUAGUCAUGCCUCGAUCGUCUCAUGUGUGCUUUUCCAGCAUUUGUGAUCAAGUCGAGCCAUGCCUAAUGCUUGAUAAAAUGGAUUAGACACAAAGUCAGCAUUUACAGAUCCCUCCGCUGGUGAUUUUCUCGAGUCUAUAUCACCAUUCAGGGACUUGGAUUCUCGGGCUAACACGAGUUAAUUGUGAUGUUAUUUGACAUUCACACCCGUCUCGUGUGCUACGAACUUACCGUGACCACUUGUUGGUAAACCUCUUUUGUGUGUUUUACCCAAGAGGUUGCAUUUGGUUCUGUUUGGGUAAAGUUGCAUAUCUACCGCUCGCCCAAUAGACUCAGAUAGUAUAGUGUCAUCAGAAAAAGCAAACUGCGCACAUAGAACCAUAUGUGUUCUUCUUGCAGGCAUUGUCUCUAUUGUUGGACAUCUCUAAAUUAGCCUAAGGUGAUGCAUGUUAUGUUCACUAGAGAAAUAAACAUCCUGAGACACCCGCCUUUAUUUGGAAAUGUCUCACGAUUAGAGCAUCUCCAACAACGUGACCUAUAAAAAUGGCCUAUAAUUUGAAAAUAAGUAUAUUUUAUAGAAUUUAGGGCACCAACAAAACACCUCGCUCCAACAGUAAAGCCCUAAAUCUAGAUUAUAGGGCAGCCCACUACGGUGUAGUAUAUUUGAGUCACUUGGGAGGGUGCCCUAUAGUUUUUUGACAAAAAAUUAUGAAAUAGAGCACUGUUGGAGUAGUUUUUCCUGUGUAGAGCCCCAUAUUUCAAUUUGAGGCACUAGUUUGAGGCAUUGUUGGAGAUGCUCUUAUCGCUGAUAUGGACAUGGGUUACAUGCUUCUCUACUCUUAGAAGUCUUUCGUUCCGAAUCUCGGGACGAGAUUCUUUUAAGGGGGGAGGGAUGUAACACCCCUGGUGUUUAUAUUCCGCUCGACAACAAGUAUGGAUUUAAGCACGUAAUAUCAGUGGAUAAAACGGAUGCUAUAUUUUAAUCAUCUUCGCCUAUUGCGAUUUUAAUAUCGCAUCUAUUUUGUCUGUCGCGAGUUCGACAUUGUUUUUAUUUUUUUAUCUAUCCGGUCUCUUCCUAAAUUUUCGUGAUGUUCGGAACAUAGUUGUUCUGGAGAUCGGCGAGUCUGGUGAUUAUUUAUUAUUCAUCGCUCGCGCAAAUACGAUUUUGGAAAUUUAGUCCAGUCCUCCGAUUGCAUCCCAAACAAAUUAAGUAGAACUCAACGACAAAAGCAUUAACACAAAAUUAAAUUGGAUCAAGAUAAUUAGAGCUGAUAUUGGGUAUACAUAAUUCAUCUAUUUCCCUGUUCUGACUGUGGAUAAAAUUUUCUGGUUCCAAAUCAAAUCUAGCACAGUCUAAAACCGCGAAGAUAAUGACGUAGUCUAGUGCCAGUUUAAAAUUAAUCGAAUAAUGCGGCUUGGAAACGUCACCGAUCUAAUUCGCUCUUGUUCAAGCAAUAUCUACGAAUCCGGUAGCGACAAUAUUAAGGAUAGGCUGUUAAAAUGAUCUAAACCCAAACUAAACAAAACCAAAAUAAUUGUCAGCCGAUUCGAUUUCCUAUUUCAAAGUCCAAGAAAAUAAUAUGUGUAGCCCCAAAUGUUGUUGUGAUCUGUUCGGAUUCUCUCUUGCCCAAAUCAUAAACCUAGAACUCAGAUUAGAUUUUCGCGGCUCGUGUUGCAAUAAUUUGGAUUAGCAUGUGUUUGGAUUGAAAGAAAAUGAGAAGGAAAUUUUACUUUCCCUUGCUCACGUCGACCACAAGGCUUUUAGCCUUUUCAUUUGGCAGUCUUAUCUCCUAGAGAUUUUUCCAUCCGAUGCCUCUUCUUGUCCCCUCUCCUCUCCAUUUCUUACGUAACGCAGGCACUCAUCUCCUUGGGAUAUUUCUAGCCACCGCCCAGUCUUCAUCUUCUUCCCCACGGGCGUCCUCCCUAGUUCCAAGUCUCUUUCUGCCAAUCGCCCAUAGCACCCAGCCGCUUGGCCUCCCUGGUACUCGCUCUCCCUCAGUGCUCUGGCUCCUGCUUCCCUCGCCAGCGCGCUCCAAUCCCCUGCACGCGGAGCUUCUCCUCUGCCAGUGCUCCUCCAUGUGUGCACGGUCCAUCGCUCUCGCGUCGCUCGGUCUGCGCGUCCCUGCGUCCGGAUCCUCUCCCUCCAGCUCGGCGCCCAUCCAUGCUGCGUCGCCCUCUCUCUCAUCUCCAAGCCGAGACCCUCGCCGUGAAGCUUCCAUGUGGCCGCGCGUACUCCCUCUGCUUCUCCCUCGUGGCGCUCAACCUUGCCGAGCUUCCUUGCCAUGGCUCUUCCACAGCCCGGCUCUGCCCCAUCGUCGAUCGCCCAUCUCCAUGGUCGCGCGCCCUCCAGUUCUAUGGCCGUGCCGCGCGUCCUGGAGCUCACCGCGCCCGGCCAAGCUCCCCUGUGCACGCCCAGCCACUCCUCUCUCCCUUGCAGCGCGCGUCCCUCUGCUUGCCAAAGCACCAGCUCGGUCGCUCCGUUCGUGCUUCCGCGGAGGCCGCAGCUCUUCCUCUGGUGCGCGCGCCCCAUCUCCCUGGUGCUCGGCCAGCUCACCCAUGGCGCGCCGUGCUCCUCUGCUCUCCCCGCCGGCCCGAGCUCCCUAUGGCGUGCAUCUCCCUGGCAAAAGCUCUCUCUUCCCUCUCCCAUGGCGCGUCUCGAGCUCCACCUCGGGUCGUCGUCUCCGAGCUCGACCCCAAACUGUUGUGCGUCCUAUCCUAUCUCCGAGUCGAGGUUCCUGAAAGUCGCCUAUAGAGGGUGAAUAGGGUGAAUCUGAAAUUUACAAACUUAAGCACAAACUACAAGCCAGGUUAGCGUUAGAAAUAGAAACGAGUCCGAUAGAGAGGGCGCAAAACAAAUCGUGAGCGAAUAAAGAGCGAGACACGAUGAUUUGUUUUACCGAGGUUCGAUUUUUGUAAACCUAAUCCCCGUUGAGGUGGUCACAAAAACUGGAUCUCUUUCAACCCUUUCCCUCUCUCAAACGGUCAAUUAGACCGAGUGAGCUUCUCUUCUCAAUCAAACGAAACACUAAGUUCCCUCAAGGACCACCACACAAUUGGUGUCUCUUGCCUUGGUUACAAUUGAGUUUGAUCACAUGAAUGAAGGGAAAAAGAAGCAAUCCAAGCGCAAGAGCUCAAAUGAACACAACAAAUCACUCUAUCUAAUCACUAAAGCUUUGUGUGGAGUUGGGAGAGGAUUUGAUCUCUUUGGUGUGUCUUGUAUUGAAUGCUAGCCCUUGUAAGGUGUAGAAGAGUGGAAAACUUGGAUGCCAUUAAAUGUGGGGUGGUUGGGAUAUUUAUAGCCCCAACCACCAAAAAUGGCCGUUGGAGGUGUGCUGUCAUAUGGCGCACCGGACAGUCCGGUGCGCCACCGGACACUGUUCGGUGCGCAAGCCACGUCAGCCAGCCGUUAGUGUUCGACCGUUGGAGCUCUGACUUGUGGGCCCUCUGGGCUGUCCAGUGGUGCACCGGACAGGUCCUGUAGACUGUUCGGUGCGCCAAUUGCGCGUGCUCUGACUCUGCGCGCACUGUAGCGCAUUGAAUGCGGUUGCAGUCGACCGUUGCGCGCGAAUUAGCCGUUGCUCCGCUGGCACACCGGACAGUCCGGUGAAUUAUAGCGGAGCGCCCUUGGAAAUUCCCGAAGGUGAAGAGUUCAGCCUCGAGUGCCCUAGUGCACCGGACACUGUCCGGUGGUGCACCGGACAGUCUGGUGCGCCAGACCAGGGUGCCUUCCGGGUUGUCUUUUGCUCUCUUGUUUGAACCCUUUUCUUGGUAUUUUUAUUGGCUUAUUGUGAACCUUUGGCACCUGUAGAACUUAUAGACUAGAGCAAACUAGUUAGUCCAAUUAUUUGUGUUGUGCAAUUCAAUCACCAAAAUCAAUUAGGAAAUAGGUGUAAGUCUAAUUCCCUUUCAAUCUCCCCCUUUUUGGUGAUUGAUGCCAACACAAACCAAAUCAAGUAUAGAAGUGCAUAAUUGAACUAGUUUGCAUAAUGUAAGUGCAAAGGUUACUUAGAAUUGAGCCAAUAUAAAUACUCAUAAGAUACACAAGAAUUGUUUCUUUAAUUUUUGACAUUUUGGACCACGCUUGCACCACAUAUUUUGUUUUUGCAAAUUCUUUUGUAAAUUCUUUUCAAAGUCCUUUUGCAAAUAGUCAAAGGUAAAUGAAUAAGUUUUGAGAAGCAUUUACAAGAUUUGACAUUUUCUCCCCCUGUUUCAAAUGCUUUUCCUUUGACUAAACAAAACUCCCCCUCAAUAAAUUCUCCUCUUAGUGUUCAAGAGGGUUUUAAGAUAUUAAUUUUGAAAAUAUUAUUUUCUCCCCCUUUUGAACACAAUAAGAUACCAAUUUGAAAAUCAUUAGUUUUAAAAUUAGGUGGUGGUGUGGUCCUUUUGCUUUGGGCUAAUACUUUUCUCCCCCUUUGGCAUGAAUCGCCAAAAACGAAUACUUAGAGUGAAAUAUAAGCCCUCUGUAAAACUACUUUCUCCCCUUUGGCAAAUAAAACAUGAGUGAAGAUUAUACCAAAGACGGAGAGUUGCUCGGAGCGACGGCGAAGGAUGAGUUAUAGAGUGGAGUGGAAGCCUUUGCCUUGCCGAAGACUCCAAUUCCCUUUCAAUAUACUUAUGACUUGGUUUGAAAUAUACUUGAAAAACACAUUAUUCAUAGCACAUGAAAGAGAUAUGAUCAAAGGUAUAGUAAUGAGCUAUGUGUGCAAAAACAUCAAAAGAAAUUCCUAGAAUCAAGGAUAUUCAGCUCAUGCCUAAGUUUGUUAAAAGUUUGUUCAUCUAGUGGCUUGGUAAAGAUAUCGGCUAAUUGUUCCUUAGUGUUAAUAUAUGCAAUCUCGAUAUCCCCCUUUUGUUGGUGAUCCCUUAAGAAAUGAUACCGAAUGGCUAUGUGUUUAGUGCGGCUAUGCUCCACCGGAUUAUCCGCCAUGUAGAUUGCACUCUCAUUAUCACAUAGAAGAGGAACUUUAGUUAAUUUGUAACCAUAGUCCCUAAGGGUUUGCCUCAUCCAAAGCAAUUGCGCGCAACAAUGGCCUGCGGCAAUAUACUCGGCUUCGGCGGUAGAAAGAGCGACGGAAUUUUGCUUGUUUGAAGCCCAAGACACCAGGGAUCUUCCCAAGAACUGGCAAGUCCCCGAUGUGCUCUUUCUAUUAAUUUUGCAACCCGCCCAAUCGGCAUCGGAAUAACCAAUUAAGUCAAAUGUGGAUUCCCGAGGGUACCAAAGCCCAAACUUUGGAGUAUAAGCCAAAUAUUUCAAGAUUCGUUUUACGGCCGUAAGGUGAGCUUUUGAAGCACAUAAAUAGAGUAAAGAACCUAUCAUCGACCGGUAUACCUUUUGAUCUACGGAUUUACCUCCUGUGUCGAGGUCGAGAUGCCCAUUGGUUUCCAUGGGAGUCUUGAUGGGUUUGGCAUCCUUCAUCCCAAACUUGUUUAGAAUGUCUUGAGUAUACUUCGUUUGGCUAAUGAAGGUGCCCUCUUGGAGUUGCUUCACUUGAAAUCCUAAGAAGUACUUCAACUCCCCCAUCAUAGACAUCUCGAAUUUUUGUGUCAUGAUCCUACUAAACUCUUCACAUGUAGAUUCGUUAGUAGACCCAAAUAUAAUAUCAUCAACAUAAAUUUGGCAUACAAACAAAUCAUUUUCAAGUGUUUUGGUAAAGAGUGUAGGAUCGGCUUUUCCGACUUUAAAGCCAUUAGUGAUAAGCAAAUCUCUUAGGCAUUCAUACCAUGCUCUUGGGGCUUGCUUGAGCCCAUAAAGCGCCUUAGAGAGUUUGUAAAUAUGGUUAGGAUACUCACUAUCUUCAAAGCCGGGAGGUUGCUCAACAUAAACCUCUUCCUUGAUCGGUCCAUUGAGGAAGGCACUCUUCAUGUCCAUUUGGUAAAGCUUGAAGCCAUGGUAAGUAGAAUAGGCUAAUAAUAUACGAAUUGACUCAAGCCUAGCUACGGGUGCAUAGGUUUCACCGAAAUCCAAACCUUCGACUUGGGAGUAUCCCUUGGCCACAAGUCGGGCUUUGUUCCUUGUCACCACACCAUGCUCGUCUUGCUUGUUGUGGAAGACCCACUUGGUUCCUACAACAUUUUGGUUAGGACGUGGAACUAAAUGCCAUACCUCAUUUCUAGUGAAGUUGUUGAGCUCCUCUUGCAUCGCCACCACCCAAUCCGAAUCUUGAAGUGCUUCCUCUACCCUGUGUGGCUCAAUAGAGGAAACAAAAGAGUAAUGCUCACAAAAAUGUGCAACACGAGAUCUAGUGGUUACCCCCUUAUGAAUGUCGCCUAGGAUGGUGUCGACGGGGUGAUCUCGUUGGAUUGCUUGGUGGACUCUUGGGUGUGGCGGUCUUGGUUCUUCAUCCUCCUUGUCUUGAUCAUUUGCAUCUCCCACUUGAUCAUUGCCGUCAUCUUGAGGUGGCUCAUCUUCUUGAUCUUCUCCUUCAUCAUUUUCAGCCUCAUCCUCAAUUUGAGUUGGUGGAGGAGGAUGGUUGAUCUUGUGCAUUUGGAGGCUCUUUGGAUUCCUUAGGACACACAUCCCCAAUGGACAUGUUCCUUAGCGCGAUGCACGGAGCCUCUUCAUCACCUAUCUCAUCAAGAUCAACUUGCUCGGUUAGGAGUUCGUAUGAUGUCUUGUUGAGGAUUCGGUGUAGAUACAACCGGUUGAUGGCGUAGCAAGCGGUGUUGACUGCCUCCGCCCAAAACCGAUCCGAAGUCUUGUACUCAUCAAGCAUGGUUGUUGCCAUGUCCAAUAGAGUUCGAUUCUUCCUCUACACUACACCAUUUUGUUGUGGUGUGUAGGGAGAAGAGAACUCAUGCUUGAUGCCCUCCUCCUCAAGGAAGCCUUCGAUUUGUGAGUUCUUGAACUCUGUCCCGUUGUCGCUUCUUAUUUUCUUGAUACUUAAGCCGAACUUGUUUUGAGCUCGUCUCAAGAAUCCUUUUAAGGUCUCUUGGGUAUGAGAUUUUUCCUGCAAAAAGAAUACCCAAGUGAAGCGAGAAUAAUCAUCCACAAUAACUAGACAGUACUUACUCCCGCCAAUGCUUAAGUAAGCAAUCGGGCCGAAUAGGUUCAUGUGUAGGAGCUCCAGUGGCCUGUCAGUCGUCAUGAUGUUCUUAUGCGAAUGAUGAACACCAACUUGCUUCCCUGCUUGGCAUGCGCUACAAAUCCUGUCUUUCUCAAAAUGAACAUUUGUUAAUCCUAAAAUGUGCUCUCCCUUUAGAAGCUUAUGAAGAUUCUUCAUCCCAACAUGGGCUAGUCAGCGGUGCUAGAGCCAACCCAUGUUAGUCUUAGCAAUUAAGCAAGUGUCGAGUUCAGCUCUAUCAAAAUCUACCAAGUAUAGCUGACCCUCUAACACUCCUUUAAAUGCUAUUGAAUCAUCACUUCUUCUAAAGAUAGUGACACCUACAUCAGUAAAAAGACAGUUGUAGCCCAUUUGACAUAAUUGCGAAACGGAAAGCAAAUUAUAGUCUAAAGAAUCUACAAGAAAAACAUUGGAAAUGGAAUGGUCAGGUGAAAUAGCAAUUUUACCCAAACCUUGGUUUCCAUCCCCGAAUGUGAUAGCUCGUUGGGUAUCUUGGUUUUUCUCAUAGAAGGAGAACAUCUUCUUCUCCCCUGUCAUAUGGUUUGUGCACCCGCUGUCGAUUAUCCAACUUGAGCCCCCGGAUGCAUAAACCUACAAAACAAGUUUAGUUCUUUGUUUUAGGUACCAAAACUGUUUUGGGUCCUUUGGCAUUAGAUACAAGAACUUUGGGUACCCAAACACAAGUUUUUGAUCCCUUGUGUUUGCCCCCAACCAACUUGGCAACUACCUUGCUGGAUUUGUUAGUCAAAACAUAAGAUGCAUCAAAAGUUUUAAAUGAAAUAUCAUGAUCAUUUGAUGCACUAGGAGUUUUCUUCUUAAGCAAUUUAGCACGGGUUGAUUGCAUAGAGCUAGAUGUCUCACCCUUAUACAUAAAAGCAUGAUUAGGGCCAGAGUGAGACUUCCUAGAAUGAAUUCUCCUAAUUUUGCUCUCAGGGUAACCGGCAGGGUAUAAAAUGUAAUCCUUGUUAUCUUGAGGCAUGGGAGCCUUGCCCUUAACAAAAUUAGACAAUCUUUUAGGAGGGGCAUUGAGUUUGACAUUGCCUCCCUGUUGGAAGCCAAUGCCAUCCUUAAUGUCAGGGCGUCUCCCACUAUAAAGCAUGCUUCUAGCAAAUUUAAAUUUUUUGUUUUCUAAGUCAUGCUCGGCAAUUUUUGCAUCUAAUUUUGCUAUAUGAUCAUUUUGUUGUUUAAUUAAAGCCAUGUGAUCAUGAAUAGCAUCAAUGUUAAUGUCUCUACAUCUAGUACAAAUGGAAGUAUGCUCAACGGUAGAUGUAGAUGAUUUGCAAGAUUUUAAUUCUACAACCUUAGCAUGCAAUAUAUCAUUUUCACUUCUAAGGCUAGUGAGAGAAUCAUUCAAUUUUUCAAUCUUAGCAAGCAAAUUGGCAUUAUCAUCUCUAAGAUUGGGAAUUGAAUCCUCACAAGCAUUUGAAUCAACCUUAGCAAUUAAACCAGCAUUUUCAUUUCUAAGGUUGUUGAAAACAUCAUGGCAUGUGCUUAGCUCACUAGAUAGUUUUUCACAUUUUUCUACUUCUAGAGCGUAAGCAUUUUUAACCUUGACAUGCUUUUUGUUUUCCUUGAUUAGGAAGUCCUCUUGGGUGUCCAAGAGUUCAUCCUUUUCAUGAAUGGCACUAAUUAAUUCAUUUAAUUUUUCUUUUUGUUGCAUGUUUAGGUUGGCAAAAAGGGUAUGCAAAUUAUCCUCCUCAUCACUAGCAUUAUCAUCACUAGAGGACUCAUAUUUAGUGGAGGAUUUGGAUUUCACCUUCUUUUUGCCGUCCUUUGCCAUGAGGCACUUGUGGCUGACGUUGGGGAAGAGGAGUCCCUUUGUGACGGCGAUGUUGGCGGCGUCCUCGUCGGAGGAGGAGUCGGAGGAGCUCUCCUCGGAGUCCCACUCGCGGCACACAUGGGCAUCGCCGCCCCUCUUCUUGUAGUACCUCUUCUUCUCCUUUCUUCUCCCCUUCUUGUCGUCGCCCCUAUCACUAUCACUAGAUAAUGGACAUUUAGCAAUGAAAUGACCGGGCUUACCACAUUUGUAGCAAACUUUCUUGGAGUGGAGCUUGUAAUCUUUCCCCCUCCUUUGCUUGAGGAUUUGGCGGAAGCUCUUGAUGAUGAGCGCCAUCUCCUCAUUGUCGAGCUUAGAGGCGUCGAUUGGUUGUCUACUUGAUGUAGACUCCUCCUUCUUCUCCUCCGUCGCCUUGAAUGCAACCGGUUGUGUUUCGGGCGCGGAGGGGCCAUCUAGCUCGAUGAUCUUCUUUGAGCCUUUGAUCAUCAACUCAAAGCUCACAAAAUUACCUAUUACUUCCUCGGGAGUCAUUAGUGUAUAUCUAGGAUUACCACGAAUUAAUUGAACUUGAGUAGGGUUAAGGAAAACAAGUGAUCUAAGAAUAACCUUAACCACCUCAUGGUCAUCCCAUUUCUUACUCCCGAGGUUGCGCACUUGGUUCACCAAGGUUUUGAGCCGGUUGUACAUUUCUUGUGGCUCUUCACCUUGGCGAAGUCGGAAGCGACCGAGCUCCCCCUCGAUCGUCUCUCUCUUGGUGAUUUUGGUCACCUUGUCUCCUUCGUGCGCGGUCUUGAGCACGUCCCAAAUCUCCUUGGCGCUCUUCAAUCCUUGCACCUUGUUAUACUCCUCUCGACUUAGAGAGGUGAGGAGUAUAGUGGUGGCUUGGGAGUUGAAGUGCUCGAUUUGGGCCACUUCGUCCUCAUCAUAAUCUUCAUCCCCUAUGAAAGGUACCUGUACACCAAACUCAACAACAUCCCAUAUACUUUUGUGGAGUGAGGUUAGGUGAUAUCGCAUCAUAUCACUCCACCUAGCAUAAUCUUCACCAUCAAACGUUGGUGGUUUGCCUAAUGGGACGGAAAGUAAAGGCGUAUGUUUAGGAAUGCGAGGAUAGCGUAGGGGGAUCUUACAAAACUUCUUGCGCUCAUGGCGCUUAGAAGUUACGGACGGCAUGUCGGAGCCGGAGGUGGAUGGCGACGAGGAGUCGGUCUCGUAGUAGACCACCUUCCUCAUCUUCUUCUUCUUGUCACCGCUCCGACGCGACUUGUGUGAAGGGGAUUCCUUUUCCUUCCCCUUCCCUUUGUUGUAGGACUCUCCCGAUGGAGCCUUCCCGUGGCUUGUAGUGGGCUUCUCGCCGGUCCCCAUCUCUUUCUUGGCGUGAUCUCCCGACAUCACUUCGAGCGGCUAGGCUCUAAUGAAGCAUCGGGCUCUGAUACCAAUUGAAAGUCGCCUAGAGGGGGGGUGAAUAGGGCAAAUCUGAAAUUUACAAACUUAGUCACAAACUACAAGUCGGGUUAGCGUUAGAAAUAGAAACGAGUCCGAGAGAUAGGGCGCAAAACAAAUCGUGAGCGAAUAAAGAGCGAGACACGAUGAUUUGUUUUACCGAGGUUCGGUUUUUGCAAACCUACUCCCCGUUGAGGUGGUCACAAAGACCGGGUCUCUUUCAACCCUUUCCCUCUCUCAAACGGUCACUUAGACCGAGUGAGCUUCUCUUCUCAAUCAAACGGAACACUAAGUUCCCGCAAGGACCACCACACAAUUGGUGUCUCUUGCCUUGGUUACAAUUGAGUUUGAUCACAAGAAUGAAGGAAGAAAAGAAGCAAUCCAAGUGCAAGAGCUCAAAUGAACACAACAAAUCACUCUCUCUAAUCACUAAAGCUUUGUGUGGAGUUGGGAGAGGAUUUGAUCUCUUUGGUGUGUCUUGUAUUGAAUGCUAGCUCUUGUAAGGUGUAGAAGAGUGGAAAACUUGGAUGCUAUUGAAUGUGGGGUGGUUGGGGUAUUUAUAGCCACAAACACCAAAAAUGGUCGUUGGAGGUGUGCUGUCGCAUGGCGCACCGGACAGUCCGGUGCGCCACCGGACACUGUCCGGUGUGCCUGCCACGUCAGCCAGCCGUUGGGGUUCGACCGUUGGAGCUCUGACUUGUGGGCCCUCUGGGCUGUCCGGUGGUGCACCAGACAGGUCCUGUAGACUGUUCGGUGCGCCAACUGCGCGUGCUCUGACUCUGCGCGCAAUAUAGCGCAUUGAAUGCGGUUGCAGUCGACCGUUGCGCGCGAAGUAGCCGUUGCUCCGCUGGCACACCAGACAGUCCGGUGAAUUAUAGCGGAGCGCCCUUGGAAAUUCUCGAAGGUGAAAAGUUCAGCCUCGAGUGCCCUAGUGCAUCGGACACUGUUCGGUGGUGCACCAGACACUGUCCGGUGGCACACCGGACAGUCCGGUGCGCCAGACCAGGGUGCCUUCCGGGUUGUCUUUUGCUCUCUUGUUUGAACCCUUUUCUUGGUCUUUUUAUUGGCUUAUUGUGAACCUUUGGCACCUGUAGAACUUAUAGACUAGAGCAAACUAGUUAGUCCAAUUAUUUGUGUUGUGCAAUUCAACCACCAAAAUCAAUUAGGAAAUGGGUGUAAGCCUAAUUCCCUUUCAGUCCCGCCGUUCGAGCUUCUCCCUGGUCGCCCCUACGGCCGAACGCUCAGCAACUCCUCUACUUCUUCCCUGCGCACAGCUUCCUCAAGUCGUCGUGUGCCCAGCUCGCCCAGUCUGCGUGCCGAGCUCCCUCAUGGCGACUUCCUACUUGCCAGCACGCCCUCUCGGCUCGCUCGACUUUAAUCCCCAUCGCGUCGUCGACCUCACCGGUUGGCGUCGUUCGUCGUCUCGUCGUGUGUGCAGUCGCCCCAGAUCUGCAUAGCCUCGCCGCGCCUAUAUAACCCCAGUUGCGAUGCCAUCCACCCCUCCGGUCAUUGACGUCGUGCCUCGCAUCUCGCCUAUUCGAUAAAACACCCAAACCCAUAAACUGUCGACACACUGCUGCGAUACGCGGCUGUCUCCGUCACUUGCGUCAGCUCGCCAGACCUGCAGCUCUAUAUACGUCACCCUCCUGUAUCGUCAUCGAGCCCAUCGAACCCCGUUCUUCCCUGCUCAACCUCGUCAAACCCCGAAUCCCGAACGUUAGGCAAAAAUAAGCGAAGUCCAUGUGCAUCUCUUAUCAAGUGCUCGAUCAAAGACUUCAAUCGAGGGUCAUCGUCGUUCCGUACGUUAUCAAGAAAUCCCAAGAGAUGGGCGAAGACGAAGCUAGCAGCGUGAUAUUCGCCAAGUGCUCGACAAAAAGCUCGAACAAGUCGUCGAUUUCGUGGGUUUAAGUCGGAUUUAAUGGAUGGUAAGUGGAUUAGUUAUUCCAGUCGACUAGAUAUAAUAUUUAUUAGACUGCCUGAGUCGUUUACGGUGAUUUGAUCGGUAGUCGUACAUGUUGCUGAUCCCUUGCUUUAUAGUAGUUAUUAAGUUCUAUGUGGUUUGCUUGGGUUAUUAGUUUCGAGUAAUUUAAUAUUAGUACGGUAUUUGACGUGUAAUCGACGAAAAACCUGGAUUCGUAUUCGUUAAUCAAUGUAGUGAAUCUGAGCAAAAUUUAUUAUUGGCGCACAAGUUUGUUAGCCGAAUUGUUAGAUAGAUUAAAUAAAUAUGUGUGGUGCGAAAUAAAAUUAAAUUAGUUCUUGGUAAGCAAAGUGGUAUAGUUUAUAAAGCGAGGGAUAAGGUUAGCAUUUAAUCAAUUAGCUCAUGAGUUGUGUAGGCUAAUUGUGUUUAAUGUGUAUAGUUUGUUGUUCGUGAUGUUUGCGUUAGAUUCGGUUAAUCUAGUGAAGCGUAACUAUUGUGCUUAGUCGUAUAUCAUAUGAAGUUGUACAACGCCUCGCCGCUAGGUGUUUAAUUCGCUAUCGCGUAGCACUAUUUAGGUUUGUAAUAUUCCUGUCUAUAUGCAUUCAUGUGCAUAAUGUAUUUCAUUCAGGUACAUGAAUUAACCAUGUGAUGCGGAGAACCAGAACUGAGUCGACCACAAGAUAUCGCUACGUGUGAGCUUCUCCACAAGAUGGUGCUGAUGAACGGAAGUGAAGGUGAACAGAUGAAACAAGUAUCAGAACAAAAGCUGAUUGCCAAGUGGACGUCGUCUAGCAAACACUAACGUAGUGUUUAUUCCAGGCAAGCCCCGGUUCAUGCAACCCAUUCCUUGUGUUUUUUAAUAAUUUUCGCACACUUCAAGUCUAGCGAAAUGUGCAUUAGGUUUAUAGGAGUUGCUUGGAAACCCUUUGAUGCAUUGCCUACCUUGAUAUCCAUACCUUUAU
rnacentral:lncRNA from 1 species